rnacentral:rRNA from 1 species
AUUGAACGCUGGCGGCAUGCCUUACACAUGCAAGUCGAACGGCAGCACGGGUGCCUGCCUCUCGUGGCGUGUGGCGCGCGGGUGUGAAAUACAUCGGAACGUCUACUAUAGGGGGAUAUAUCCCCGCAAGAGCCGCAAUAAUACCACAUACUAUCUGCUGAUAAACAAGGGUUACCUACUGGCCUCGCGCUUUAAGGUUGCCCGAUGGCGGAUUAGCUAGUUGGUGGGGUAAAGGCCUACCAAGGCGACGAUCAGUAGCUGGUCUGAGAGGACGACCAGCCACACUGGGACUGAGACACGGCCCAGACUCCUACGGGAGGCAGCAGUGGGGAAUUUUGGACAAUGGGCGAAAGCCUGAUCCAGCAAUGCCGCGUGUGUGAAGAAGGCCUUCGGGUUGUAAAGCACUUUUGUCCGGAAAGAAAUCUUUGGCGCUAAUACGGUCGGGGGAUGACGGUACCGGAAGAAUAAGCACCGGCUAACUACGUG